rnacentral:rRNA from 1 species
UCAAUCUCGUGCGGCUAUAUAUACCGCCGGUCCCUCUAAGAAGAUUUUCAUUGUACGCCGAUAGUUGAAGACCGACAGACACGCGCGCGCCGGAAGNNNGCGCCGGAAGCCCCGAAGGACGACCGACGGCGCGGCAGCGGACCCUCGUGAUAUCGGUGGUACGUCUAUUUAAUAGGCUAGAGUUACGUUCGUUAC